GACGAACGCUGGCGGCGUGCCUAAUACAUGCAAGUCGAACGCAGUGGGGACGGGUGAGUAACACGUGGGUAACCUCCCAUCAGAGGGGAUAACACUUGGAAACAGGUGCUAAACCGCUACUGAUGGCUGGACCCGCGGUGCAUUAGUUAGUUGGCGGGGUAACGGCUCACCAAGGCCACGAUGCAUAGCGGACCUGACGGGAUGGUCAGCGACAAUGGGACUGAGACAGGGCCAACACGCCUACGGGGGGCAGAAGUGGGGAAUAUACGGCAAUGGAAGAAGGUUGGACCGGGCAAGGCCGCGGGAGUGAGGAAGAUUUACGAAUAGUAGAACUCUGUUGAGAAUAAAGCGGUAUCUAACCAGAAAUCAACGGCUAGCUACGGGCCAGCAGCCGCGGUAAUUC
rnacentral:rRNA from 1 species